rnacentral:rRNA from 1 species
GGCUAGGAAUCUGCCUGGUAGUGGGGGACAACGUUUCGAAAGGAACGCUAAUACCGCAUACGUCCUACGGGAGAAAGCAGGGGACCUUCGGGCCUUGCGCUAUCAGAUGAGCCUAGGUCGGAUUAGCUUGUUGGUGAGGUAAUGGCUCACCAAGGCGACGAUCCGUAACUGGUCUGAGAGGAUGAUCAGUCACACUGGAACUGAGACACGGUCCAGACUCCUACGGGAGGCAGCAGUGGGGAAUAUUGGACAAUGGGCGAAAGCCUGAUCCAGCCAUGCCGCGUGUGUGAAGAAGGUCUUCGGAUUGUAAAGCACUUUAAGUUGGGAGGAAGGGUUGUAGAUUAAUACUCUGCAAUUUUGACGUUACCGACAGAAUAAGCACCGGCUAACUCUGUGCCAGCAGCCGCGGUAAUACAGAGGGUGCAAGCGUUAAUCGGAAUUACUGGGCGUAAAGCGCGCGUAGGUGGUUUGUUAAGUUGGAUGUGAAAGCCCCGGGCUCAACCUGGGAACUGCAUCCAAAACUGGCAAGCUAGAGUACGGUAGAGGGUGGUGGAAUUUCCUGUGUAGCGGUGAAAUGCGUAGAUAUAGGAAGGAACACCAGUGGCGAAGGCGACCACCUGGACUGAUACUGACACUGA